CGAGGUGCAAGCGUUAUCCGGAUUUAUUGGGUUUAAAGGGUCCGUAGGCGACUUGUAAGUCAGUGGUGAAAUCUCAUAGCUUAACUAUGAAACUGCCAUUGAUACUGCAGGUCUUGAGUAAAUUGAAGUGGCUGGAAUAAGUAGUGUAGCGGUGAAAUGCAUAGAUAUUACUUAGAACACCAAUUGCGAAGGCCAGGUCACUAAGAUUUAACUGACGCUGAUGGACGAAAGCGUGGUAGCGAACAGGAUU
rnacentral:rRNA from 1 species